rnacentral:rRNA from 1 species
CAAUAGCGUAUAUUAAAGUUGUUGCAGUUAAAAAGCUCGUAGUUGGAUUUCUGGUCGGAAGCUCCUGUCCUCUGAUGAGCGUACAAGUGCGUCCUACCAUCCUUCUGUUAACCUUUAAGGCUUUCGCGGCUUUCUAGGGGCUCAGAUAUUUUACCUUGAGAAAAUUAGAGUGUUUCAGGCAGGCUAGCGCCGGAAUACAUUAGCAUGGAAUAAUGGAAUAGGACUUUUGCCUCUUCUGUUGGUCAUGAGGCUCGAGUAAUGAUUAAUAGGGAUAGUUGGGGGCAUUAGUACUUAACUGUCAGAGGUGAAAUUCUCGGAUUUGUUAAAGACUAACUUAUGCGAAAGCAUUUGCCAAGGAUGUUUUCAUUAA